GAUGAACGCUGGCGGCGUGCCUAAUACAUGCAAGUCGAGCGAACGGACGAGAAGCUUGCUUCUCUGAUGUUAGCGGCGGACGGGUGAGUAACACGUGGAUAACCUACCUAUAAGACUGGGAUAACUUCGGGAAACCGGAGCUAAUACCGGAUAAUAUUUUGAACCGCAUGGUUCAAAAGUGAAAGACGGUCUUGCUGUCACUUAUAGAUGGAUCCGCGCUGCAUUAGCUAGUUGGUAAGGUAACGGCUUACCAAGGCAACGAUGCAUAGCCGACCUGAGAGGGUGAUCGGCCACACUGGAACUGAGGCACGGUCCAGACUCCUACGGGAGGCAGCAGUAGGGAAGCUUCCGCAAGGGGCGAAAGCCUGACGGAGCAACGCCGCGUGAGUGAUGAAGGUCUUCGGAUCGUAAAACUCUGUUAUUAGGGAAGAACAUAUGUGUAAGUAACUGUGCACAUCUUGACGGUACCUAAUCAGAAAGCCACGGCUAACUACGUGC
rnacentral:rRNA from 1 species